UUACACUACAAGUUGCAGGUUAACUUCGGGAGUUAACACUAUUUUGCAAUAUGAAGUGCUUUUUUAAUAUAUAUAUCUAUAUAAUAUAUAGAUAUUUGUAAAAUACAUGUGCAGAUUUGAUAGAACAAACUGUGGAAAUAGCUUUCUUGAGUCUUUUUUCCAUUACCAGAUCUUUAUCUCCUACACAAGGAGUUUCAGGAUUCAACAAGGAUCUCUACAAUAUGAUCGAGCUCGUUAAGAUCAGAUUUACAAUUAGAGCUAGAAGUUGUAGUUGUUGGAGAAGGAAAUGGUUCUAGCCCAUCACAGUGUCCCAUUUUUGUGUUGCUCAUCAUACCUGUUAACAUAGUAUCAAGAUCAUAGUAAGAAUUGUCAACUUCUGAAAAAAGGUCUUCAACUGAAUUAGGACUUUUGUUCUCCAGCGUCUCAAAUAUUUGAUCUAAUGAUUUUUGAAAAUUCCCUUUAUUUUCUUGUGAAUUCUCCAUUUCCCACACAUUGCUUUGCAGGUUUCUUAGAGCUUGCACUGAAGAGGCUGUUGACAUAGUUUCUGAACUAUCUUGUGCCUGGUCACCCUCAAAGUCUUUACUGAAAGUACUGUAACCUGGAACAUGCUUUCCCUCAGCCUGCUCCCUAGAUGAGCGACAGAGGAUAUCUGUUGAAACAAGACGAUCCACGGAUGCCUGGCCUGUAUUCUGCAUAUUUAUCAUCUGCCAAGUCCCAUCUUGGGUCAUUUCCUCUUGGAUCUGGCGUACCGUGUUGGCUAUGAGUACCGAACGACAAAGGUUAGGUUCGACCAGCAUGUGACACAGCUGAAGUUUAACCAGGGACAUAUCUAAAAGUGACUGCCGCUGAAGAUUAUAUGAAGGAAUAGCCUUAAUACCAGCCAGAGUUCCUUCAAUAUCUUCUUCGCCAUCAAAACAUUUUCUUUUCAGUCCUCGCAUAAACAUUGUGUCCAGUAAUUGUGCUUGAUGUAGUCCUUCCUCUUCUCCCAUGCUACUGAGCAAGAGUCCAUACAGUAACAGUUAGGGCAGCACCACACUACUACCGCUGCCGUCGCCUCCCAGCGCAGGAGCCCCGCUCCCGCCUCGGCGCUCGCUCCGCGCUAGAGGGAAGGGGCGUGGCCAACCGUAGCGCCCGGCCCCGCCCCCCUCGCCCGCCAUCUUAUUGUCAAAGCCCACAAAGGCUCUCGCUCCCCGCCCCCGCUGUGUCGCUGGGGGCGGGGCUUCAGCCUCUGGCCACGCCCACAAGGCAGCCGCAGGUCUCUAUUGGCUACCGCCGAAUCGCGCAGACGGCGCUCGCCUUUGCGAUUGGCUGUGCCGUUGCCGCGGCACCCAGCCGCUCCUCCCCCUCAGGCGCCGCGCACGGGAGGCUGACCGGUUGCCAUAGUGCCGGGCCCUUCCCCUCGUCCGUGAGAGGCUGGGAGGCGGAGGCCGAGGCGGAGUCCCCAUUUCAAACAGCAGCCAAAGCCUCGCGGCGUGGCUGGGCUCCCGGCCACGGGCUCCGGCGGGAACAGGUUGAGACCUGGCCCAGCAGCAGCCCGCGGGGCCCUCGCUCUGGGAGGAGUCCGCCCCCGGGCCGCGCCGCCUCCGCCGGGCCGGGCUGGGCCGGGCCGGGCCGGGCCUCUCCGCUCCGCGCCGCCGCUUCCCUCAGGGCCGAGAGUCCCCGACGCCUCCCGCCCCCGCAGCCCCGCGGGGUGCCAGGCCUCGUGACUCCAUUAGCAAGGCCUGUGGCAUUUCCUGUCUGAGCUUCGCAGGCAGAGGACAGGCAGGCUGCUUCCAUCGGGUGGGGAAGGGACGGAGCCCGGUGCCCCAGCAGCUCCAACCUUUGUCUUGAGCGAACGGCCCAACCAACGCUUUGGACGCCCCUCGUGCUGGCUUGGUGCUGCGGCACAUCUGCAAGCGCUUAGCUGGCCCCGGCGCUGAGCUUCUUUCCCGGCCCUGUGAGCAGCCAGGAGGGGGGAGUGAGCUCGUCCCGGCUCCAGCUGCUCAGGACCGGCAGCUGCGGCCGAAGGUUGGGCACGGAGAGACUCUGCGGCCCCGGGGAGAGAAGAGAAAUGGAGAGAAAGAGCAGGUUGGGCAGCAGGAGGGAGCAGAAAAUGGGCCAGGGAGUGAGUCGGUAGGGAGGGCUGUGAAACAGCAGAGAGCUACAACUUGGUAGGAGAAAGCAGGAGAAAAUAAUGUUUGCACAAGCAAGGUCAUUCUUGGGAUGAGAUAUGUUAGAAACUGCGCUAUUUCCCCAUGUUUUUUAUGGUUUCUCAUACAGCCCAUAAUGACAUCACGAUACAAAAGCAUAUGUGAAGACUUUGAAAGAACAAUACAGCGAAGAGAAGUGUUCCACCGCUCUCUCCAUCCCAACCCCAGCUUUUUUUAGAUGAGCUGUAAUGAAUUCAGUACGUAAUUCCACUUUAAGUCCUGCAUGAACCCAUGAGCCUUUCUGUUGUUCCCUUUAGGAUCACUGCCAUAGAAGAGUGCAGUGGUACUGCUCUUACUGGUGAUAACAUCACCUCCAUAUCCCCUCUUAUCUUUUUUCCUCUUUUAGCUACAAUGAGAGGAUCUCAACUUUUUUCCCCCAAUAAGUUCUCCAGUGAAACAAAGGAAAAAACAAUGAAAGAAGAGGAUAGCUGAUAGAUUAAAAGCUCUACGUUGUUUGAAAAGGAGAACUAUGGAAAGGUUCUCAAUGCUUUCUCUGAAAAGCUGAGAAAACUUAUGCACGCUUAGUCAAGAUAUGACAAGAUUUGAUUACUCUCAGGAGAAAACAACUCUUUCAUCUCACAUACAUGAGAAACAUAACUUGACAAGUCAGAAGGGAAAUAUCUGGACAAACUGAUGCAAAACAAUACAGACCAAAGUAUUUAGUAGAAAGCAGACAAUCUCUGAUAGUACUAAGAUAGUAUUAUAAAGAAAAUAAUUGAAUUGUAACCACAAUGUGAUAAAGAUAUCAAAUUUUAGCUACAUGCUGAUGUUUUUUAUCCACCUACCUAGUUUCAGUAAACUAAAUGUUAACGCCAGAGUUAAAGAGAGCAAGUGAUAAAUGGGAGCUGAGAAAGCUGUGUCAGCACAUGAAACCUUAGCAGGUAAGGUAGUCUGCGAGCAAAAGCAGAAGUGGGGCAAAGGAGUUGGAGACAAAGCACAGAGCAAAACUGGAAAUAAAUGUCAACAGAACAAUCUGAUUGGGAAACUGAAAUGAAGGUGGAAACUGCUGUAAAAAAGAAAGAAAAAAGAAUUCUGCUGGUUUGAAAUGGCAGGUGACCGAAACCAAAAGGUAUUCCGAAUAUGUCCUCAGAGCUGCUGGAGUAAUGUGAGAUCUUACACCUGGUGAGACACUGCGGGGACCUGCUUGCUGAUGUAAUGACUACCACGUAUGACGGGAGAAAAUGAUGCAAACCAGCUCAGCACAUCUCUCCUAGGAAGGUGGAUCAGCACUGGCAGCCAGCAGAAACUUCAGCGUGGUAGACCUGAGGAGAUUUAGAAGCCCUGGCAGCCCUCUGAAAGUGGCCCUGGGGGCCAGAAAGCUGGGCGAGGAGAGCAGGAAAAUGUGCGCUUGCACUGCCGGUGUUGGGAGCCAAGCAGACAUGAGUCAGCCUUGAGCUGGAAGCUGUGCAGCUGUCGUCAGUGCAGUGCUGCUGCCGAGCCCUGUUGGGAGGCAAGGUGUGCUCAUCCAGCUCGUGCUGCACCAGCAUGACCCUGUGUGGUUGGGGGAAGAGUUUGGGCUGUGGUUCAGAGCUGGGACAGAGCUUGCUUGCCUCUGCCUGCCAAAGACAACGUGGACGUGCUCUGAGUCUGUGUUGUUUUUCUCAUAAUAAAUGUUUGAUUAAAGCUCAUAAGUUAUCCGUGUCUUUCUUUAAUUUGGCUCAGGAGUAGGGCAGGAGGCCUGUCUGUAAUGUACCGUUUCCUUUAAGCCCAACCUGGCAAAUUCUGACCACCUUUGAAAUAAGCAGCAUUGCGAAACAGUCCUGAGUGCUUCUGCAGAUGAGCACAUUCCUGCAGCAGAGCUCAGCCUAAAACUCCAGGAGCAGAUGGAAGAAAGGCUAAGGAAGGUAAUUAAAUGUGGCUGUUGCCUAAGAAGUAAGCCUGUUGUAGCAGCUCAGCUGAGCCCUGUAAGCCAGAUACAGGCUACAGCCUCACUUUGUGCAGUCUGCAGUCACAGCACUCUGAGUUUUAUAGAAUCACAGAAUUGUUUGAAUUGAAAGGAACUUUUGAAGGCCAUCUGAUCCAACUCCCCUGCAAUAACAGGGACACCUACAGCUCGAUCAGGUUUUCAG
rnacentral:lncRNA from 1 species